GCAGAUUCUUCUUCCUGACAUCGAGACAUUCGAUAAAAGCCGGCGCCGAGCAGCCAAGAAUCUCUUGGGACACAACUGUACACUCCCUGCUCGCUUCCGUUGAUCUCCGGACUCACGAGAGCGAGAGCUCGAGGUGGAUGGCGGCCAUGGCGGCGCCCCACUGCGCGUCGACUUCCUCAGCGUUCCUCGGCCUCCCGCAAGGCAACGGCGGGCGGCGCCAGGGCAAUUCAUGCCGCUUCGUCGCCAACGCCAGGUUGGCGACGGUGUCCGCCACGCUGGACAAGGAGACCGCGGCGGCGAAGCCCAGAAAAUCCCGGAACCGCCGGUCCAGGAAGGCGACCAAGUCCGAGUCCACGGCGCUGCUCGCCCCGGACGAGCCCGCGGAGGCCAAGAUCGGUGGAGCCCCCGAAGCCGAGGAGGUGGCGAAAGGCGCCGGCGGCAGGGGGAUGGUAGCACUGGACGACGUGAUCGUGAACCCGGUGGGACUCGGCCGGCGCUCCCGGCAGGUGUUCGACGAGGUGUGGCGCAAGUUCUCGCGGCUCGGCCAGAUGUCCAGCGCCUCCUCCGCCGCUGUGGCCGAGCAGGACCCCGCCGUCCUCUUCCGCGGCGGGCCCAUGUGCGAGUUCACCGUGCCCGGCGCGCAAGACACCACCGUCCUCGUCGUCGGCGCCACCAGCCGCAUCGGCCGGAUCGUCGUCCGCAAGCUCAUGCUCCGCGGAUACAACGUCAAGGCAUUAGUUAGGAGGAAUGAUCCGGAAGUGAUCGACAUGCUUCCAAGGUCUGUGGACGUCGUGGUUGGCGAUGUCGGUGAUCCUUCUUCAGUUCAGGCUGCUGUUUCAGGUUGCAACAAGGUAAUUUACUGCGCUACCGCACGGUCGACUAUCACCGGAGACCUCAACAGGGUUGAUAACCAAGGAGUAAGGAACGUUACCAAGGCUUUCCAGGAUUACUACAAUCAGCUGGCCCAGUCAAGGGCUGGUAAAAGCAGCAAGAGCAAACUGACUAUUGCAAAAUUUAAAUCCGCCAAAUCUUUGAAAGGAUGGGAGGUGCGGCAGGGAUCAUACUUUCAGGAUAUCUACCCUUCUAGAUUCGAUGGAGGCACCGAUGCGUCAUUUGAAUAUUCAGAAAGUGGACAGGCUGUUUUCUCAGGAUUUGUUUUCACAAGGGGUGGCUACGUUGAAAUGUCUAAACGGCUUUCGCUUCCUCUGGGUUCCACCCUAGACAGGUAUGAUGGAUUGCUUCUUUCGGUGGGUGGAAAUGGAAGAUCGUAUGUUAUUAUUCUCGAGACUGGUCCGCUGGCUGACACCUCACAGAGCAAGAAAUAUUUUGCCCGGAUGAACACAAAAGUUGGGUUUUGCAGAGUGAGAGUGCCGUUUUCAGCUUUCCGGCCAGUAAACCCACAGGAUCCUCCAUUGGACCCGUUUCUUGUGCACACCCUAACCAUCAGGUUUGAGCCCAAGAAGCAGAGACCUGGUGAUUCAUCUGAAGGAGCUGCUAGUGACCCCAGAAACUUUGAGCUGAAAAUGGAGUUUAUAAAAGCUUUGCCGAGUGGUCAAGAAACAGACAUUGUGCUGGUCUCAUGCACAGGCUCAGGGAUUGAAGCUAACAGGCGAGAACAAGUCCUCAAAGCGAAGAAGGCUGGAGAGGACGCAUUGAGGAGAUCUGGCCUCGGGUAUACGAUUGUGCGCCCAGGUCCGCUGCAGGAAGAACCUGGGGGUCAGCGCGCCUUGAUCUUCGACCAAGGGAGCAGGAUCUCUCAGGUGACAUGUGGAACACAGUAUACCGCACCGUUUCCUUUGAACUCGCGAUGCAGGGCAUCAGCUGCGCCGAUGUGGCCGACAUCUGCGUGAAAGCGCUGCACGACUCGACAGCAAGGAACAAGAGCUUCGAUGUGUCCUACGAGCAUGUCUCGGAGCAAGGGAAUGAGCUGUAUGAACUUGUGGCUCAUCUACCUGACAAGGCCAACAACUACCUGUCGCCGGCUCUCAGUUCUGGAGAAGAACACCUGAUCUGAUCACCAGUGAGCUGUGACUAUGAGCUAGCACGAGUGAUGCACACACACGACGAGCCGCACCCCCGUAUGCCUUGUGAAGCUUUUCUCUUUGGGCCCCCAUUUUCGGCUAAGAUACCGUGUGGGGUCCACAUUCAGAGGGUAGGACCCUCAUGUCACUCGUCAACAUGAUGUAUCCAAUGCAUAGAAGGAAGAGGACUAGAGGAGCACAAAGGAAGGGACUUUGGAAGGCCAUCCUUUUGUAGAGAGUGUAGUGGCAGCUUCGGAGACUGGGACCCAGAGGCAAUGAUGGAGUGCUCUGGCCCCUGGCCAGGCAUGUUCAUGUACGAUGUUAUUGAACAAUGACAUAUAUAGUCUUUCAGAAGGGGAUCCUUUGAGAUGCCUGAAUCAAUUUUCAUCCUCCAAAUUAA